ACGCUGGCGGCAGGCCUAACACAUGCAAGUCGAGCGGUAGAGAGAAGCUUGCUUCUCUUGAGAGCGGCGGACGGGUGAGUAAUGCCUAGGAAUCUGCCUGGUAGUGGGGGAUAACGUUCGGAAACGGACGCUAAUACCGCAUACGUCCUACGGGAGAAAGCAGGGGACCUUCGGGCCUUGCGCUAUCAGAUGAGCCUAGGUCGGAUUAGCUAGUUGGUGGGGUAAUGGCUCACCAAGGCGACGAUCCGUAACUGGUCUGAGAGGAUGAUCAGUCACACUGGAACUGAGACACGGUCCAGACUCCUACGGGAGGCAGCAGUGGGGAAUAUUGGACAAUGGGCGAAAGCCUGAUCCAGCCAUGCCGCGUGUGUGAAGAAGGUCUUCGGAUUGUAAAGCACUUUAAGUUGGGAGGAAGGGCAGUUGCCUAAUACGUAACUGUUUUGACGUUACCGACAGAAUAAGCACCGGCUAACUCUGUGCCAGCAGCCGCGGUAAUACAGAGGGUGUAAGCGUUAAUCGGAAUUACUGGGCGUAAAGCGCGCGUAGGUGGUUUGUUAAGUUGGAUGUGAAAUCCCCGGGCUCAACCUGGGAACUGCAUUCAAAACUGACUGACUAGAGUAUGGUAGAGGGUGGUGGAAUUUCCUGUGUAGCGGUGAAAUGCGUAGAUAUAGGAAGGAACACCAGUGGCGAAGGCGACCACCUGGACUGAUACUGACACUGAGGUGCGAAAGCGUGGGGAGCAAAC
rnacentral:rRNA from 1 species